rnacentral:lncRNA from 1 species
CGCGUUUGCUUCAGAACUGGACGAAAAAAUCACCAAAUUCCUCUCAAGCUGGUUCAUCACAGAGUACUACUCAGACUUCCUUCAACAACCCUUCAAUAGGGACAAGUUCCAGUCCUAGUGAAGGGACAAUUAGUGCCACAACACCUGAGGGAUUCGACUCAUUUAUGGGCUUCAGUUCUUCCAACUCCGAUGUUUCUCAAUCUGAGGGCGAACCCAAGGUCAAUGCUGCAAAUUUCAUUCCAGAAGCUGGGACUUUGCAGGGGGAGAGCAAGAUAAAUUUGGACAUUCAAAUGCCCCUAACUUUGCUGGAAAACUGGCUCUUUGAUGAUGCUUCUGCACAAGGAGGGGGAGGAUACAUAAUGGACAUGUCUUUGGGGGAAAAUGCUGAUUUGUUUUGAAAAAAGUUUUUCUUCAAAACAAAGUAGCAGUUUCAGGUUGAUCUUUUUGUCUUUUUGGUGGGUUUUUAGGCAGAAGUGUCCUAAUCAGUGUCUGCUCCAUCUAGAUCGAGCACAAAAGGAUGGAAUCUUCCAUAUAUUGGGAGAGCAUAAAGUGUAAAUGACUGAUCAUGUAUUGCAAUGUUUGGUAUGUAGUAUUAGAUAGAACUGGAUAGUAAAAAAAAUUGAUUUUAACUUCAUUUUAUUUGUUACUACUUUCCAGUACUAUGUAAUCCUCCGUACCAAACAUGUCAUACUAGUAGUGUAUAUGCACAUAUGCAUGGUUAAUUAAAUAGGAAUAAAUCUCUCUUGAUCUAUCUCCUUAGAACAACUGUUUGUACUCUGUGCACCAUUUGGUGUUUAUUAUGAGAAAUGAUAAUUAUGGUUUGAGUUAUGAUGCUUCCGAAUUUACUAAUGGUCUGUUCGGUAAUGAUUAUGAGAAUUGAUUUUUUGACUGUUAAAGAUAAAGUGGGUUUUACCUGUAAAUGAAGAAGUAAAAAAUGAUGACUGAAAUAGUGAAAUAACAUUCAAAAAAUUAAUUUUUUUGGCAUAUAAAAUUGCUAACAAAUGGGGCUAAAUAAAACUACAUUUUGUAUGUGGCAUAUAAUCCUGACCGUGAAAUGAAAUUUUUGGGGGAAAAAAAAAAAAACAACAACAACCAGUUUUUAUCACAGUCCUUUAAAAAAUUUCAAUUCUAAACACACUCAUUUUUUGUCUUCCCUCGGACGUAGGCCAAGUGCCGAACCUUCUAAGUUCUUUACUUUCUUCUCUUUUACAUUUUGCCUAAAAUCCUAAUCUGCAGCAGCAAGUCGUGUUAUGAUUUCAGAACCGAUAAAGUUGCAGGCUGAGAUGGACUAAUUAUCUCAGGCCCGGAAUCAAACGUGGUAACUUCACUGAACAUGAGGAGAAGAUGAUUAUCCACCUUCAAGCGCUUCUUGGCAACCGGUAUGUAUAUAGAAAUCUUGUUUCGUUAUGAAUACACACACUAAUAUGAGGCCAUGCAAGAUCUUGUUUUUCUUGAAUUAGGGUUUGAUCUAACUGUAGUCCCAAAUGCCAAAACAAGAUUUUUUAAGCUUUUAUGGGAUGGCUGAGAAUCUGGAUUCAUUAGAAUGGAAAAAUCUUGUUUAUUAUACUGUUCAUGGAACAGAAAAUAUUAUAGGGAUCUCAAUAGUGGUAUGCUAAUUUGUUUUAUGGUGCAGAUGGGCUGCCAUAGCUUCAUACCUUCCGCAACGAACCGACAAUGAUAUUAAGAACUUUUGGAACACUCAUUUGAAAAAGAAGCUGAAGAAACAACAAGGGAAUGAUGAACAAAAUCAAGAAGGGAGUUCAGAUUCUCAAUCAAUUCCAAAAGGCCAGUGGGAGAGAAGGCUCCAAACAGAUAUUCACAUGGCAAAACAAGCCCUAUGUGAAGCCUUGUCCUUAGACAAAUGGAACACAAAUUUGCUUGAUUCAAAGCCCUUUCCAGUAACCCUUUCAGAAACUAAACCAAUUCAGACAUCAACAUAUGCUUCGAGUACUGAAAACAUUGCGCGUUUGCUUCAGAACUGGACGAAAAAAUCACCAAAUUCCUCUCAAGCUGGUUCAUCACAGAGUACUACUCAGACUUCCUUCAACAACCCUUCAAUAGGGACAAGUUCCAGUCCUAGUGAAGGGACAAUUAGUGCCACAACACCUGAGGGAUUCGACUCAUUUAUGGGCUUCAAUUCUUCCAACUCCGAUGUUUCUCAAUCUGAGGGCGAACCCAAGGUCAAUGCUGCAAAUUUCAUUCCAGAAGCUGGGACUGUGCAGGGGGAGAGCAAGAUAAAUUUGGACAUUCAAAU